rnacentral:rRNA from 1 species
CAUGUCCUUUUGAUAUAUUUAUUUAAGGUCUAACCUGCCCAAUGAUUAAUUAUUUAAUGGCCGCGGUAUUUUGACCGUGCAAAGGUAGCAUAAUCAUUAGUUUUUUAAUUGAAAGCUGGAAUGAAAGGUUGAAUGAGAAAAUAACUGUCUUUGUUAUAUUUAAUUAAAACUUUAUUUUUAAGUUAAAAAGCUUAAAUUUUAUUUAUAGACGAGAAGACCCUUUAGAGUUUUAUAAAAAUUAUUCUUUAAUUUUUUAGUAUUUAUAAUGUUAAAGGUUAAUUUUUAUUUGAUUGGGGUGAUUGAAAAAUUUAAAAAACUUUUUUUUUUAUAUUACAUUAAUAUAUGAAUUUUUGAUCCAUAAAUUAUGAUUAUAAGAUUAAAUUACCUAAGGGAUAACAGCGUUAUUUUUUUUGAGAGUUCUAAUCGAAAAAAAAGAUUGCGACCUCGAUGUUGGAUUAAAAUUAAAUUAUGGCGUAGAGGCUAUAACCGCA